GGGGACAACCCGCCGAAAGGCGGGCUAAACCCGCGUACAUGCCACCGGGGCAUCCCGGAGGCAGGAAAGGCUUCGGCCGGACAGGGAUGGGCAUGCGGCGCAUUAGGCAGUAGGCGGGGUAACGGCCCACCUAACCGACGAUGCGUAGGGGUUCUGAGAGGAAGGUCCCCCACACUGGUACUGAGACACGGACCAGACUCCUACGGGAGGCAGCAGUGAGGAAUAUUGGUCAAUGGUCGGGAGACUGAACCAGCCAAGCCGCGUGAGGGAGGAAGGUACAGAGUAUCGUAAACCUCUUUUGUCAGGGAACAAAGACUGGGACGCGUCCCCGGAUGAGUGUACCUGAAGAAAAAGCAUCGGCUAACUCCGUGCCAGCAGCCGCGGUAAUACGGAGGAUGCGAGCGUUAUCCGGAUUUAUUGGGUUUAAAGGGUGCGCAGGCGGUCUGUUAAGUCAGCGGUCAAAGCCCGGGGCUCAACCCCGGCCCGCCGUUGAAACUGGCAGUCUCGAGUUGGAGAGAAGUAUGCGGAAUGCGCGGUGUAGCGGUGAAAUGCAUAGAUAUCGCGCAGAACUCCGAUUGCGAAGGCAGCAUGCCGGCUCCACACUGACGCUGAGGCACGAAAGCGUGGGUAUCGAACAGGAUUAGAUACCCUGAUAGUCCACGCAGUAAACG
rnacentral:rRNA from 1 species